UGGGGAAUAUUGGACAAUGGGCGAAAGCCUGAUCCAGCCAUGCCGCGUGAGUGAAGAAGGCCUUCGGGUUGUAAAGCUCUUUCGACGGGGACGAUGAUGACGGUACCCGUAUAAGAAGCCCCGGCUAACUUCGUGCCAGCAGCCGCGGUAAUACGAAGGGGGCUAGCGUUGUUCGGAAUUACUGGGCGUAAAGCGAACGUAGGCGGUGUUCCAUGUCAGAGGUGAAAGCCUGGGGCUCAACUCCAGAAUUGCCUUUGAAACGGGGACGCUUGAGUCCGAGAGAGGAUGGCGGAAUUCCUAGUGUAGAGGUGAAAUUCGUAGAUAUUAGGAAGAACACCGGUGGCGAAGGCGGCCAUCUGGCUCGGUACUGACGCUCAGGUUCGAAAGCGUGGGGAGCAAACAG
rnacentral:rRNA from 1 species